GCAGUGGCUAGGGUAGCUCCCGAAAAGCGGCAUCGUCACCGCCUGCCACUGAUUCAAUGACGAA
rnacentral:sRNA from 26 species